rnacentral:rRNA from 2 species
CUGAUGGAGCAACGCCGCGUGAGUGAAGAAGGGUUUCGGCUCGUAAAACUCUGUUGUUAAAGAAGAACAUAUCUGAGAGUAACUGUUCAGGUAUUGACGGUAUUUAACCAGAAAGCCACGGCUAACUACGUGCCAGCAGCCGCGGUAAUACGUAGGUGGCAAGCGUUGUCCGGAUUUAUUGGGCGUAAAGCGAGCGCAGGCGGUUUUUUAAGUCUGAUGUGAAAGCCUUCGGCUCAACCGAAGAAGUGCAUCGGAAACUGGGAAACUUGAGUGCAGAAGAGGACAGUGGAACUCCAUGUGUAGCGGUGAAAUGCGUAGAUAUAUGGAAGAACACCAGUGGCGAAGGCGGCUGUCUGGUCUGUAACUGACGCUGAGGCUCGAAAGUAUGGGUAGCAAACAGGAUUAGAUACCCUGGUAGUCCAUACCGUAAACGAUGAAUGCUAAGUGUUGGAGGGUUUCCGCCCUUCAGUGCUGCAGCUAACGCAUUAAGCAUUCCGCCUGGGGAGUACGGCCGCAAGGCUGAAACUCAAAGGAAUUGACGGGGGCCCGCACAAGCGGUGGAGCAUGUGGUUUAAUUCGAAGCUACGCGAAGAACCUUACCAGGUCUUGACAUACUAUGCAAAUCUAAGAGAUUAGACGUUCCCUUCGGGGACAUGGAUACAGGUGGUGCAUGGUUGUCGUCAGCUCGUGUCGUGAGAUGUUGGGUUAAGUCCCGCAACGAGCGCAACCCUUAUUAUCAGUUGCCAGCAUUAAGUUGGGCACUCUGGUGAGACUGCCGGUGACAAACCGGAGGAAGGUGGGGAUGACGUCAAAUCAUCAUGCCCCUUAUGACCUGGGCUACACACGUGCUACAAUGGAUGGUACAACGAGUUGCGAACUCGCGAGAGUAAGCUAAUCUCUUAAAGCCAUUCUCAGUUCGGAUUGUAGGCUGCAACUCGCCUACAUGAAGUCGGAAUC